AUUGAGCGCUGGCGGCAUGCCUUACACAUGCAAGUCGAACGGUAACAGGUCUUCGGAUGCUGACGAGUGGCGAACGGGUGAGUAAUACAUCGGAACGUGCCUAGUAGUGGGGGAUAACUACUCGAAAGAGUGGCUAAUACCGCAUGAGAUCUACGGAUGAAAGCAGGGGAUCGCAAGACCUUGUGCUACUAGAGCGGCCGAUGGCAGAUUAGGUAGUUGGUGGGAUAAAAGCUUACCAAGCCGACGAUCUGUAGCUGGUCUGAGAGGACGAUCAGCAACACUGGGACUGAGACACGGCCCAGACUCCUACGGGAGGCAGCAGUGGGGAAUUUUGGACAAUGGGCGAAAGCCUGAUCCAGCAAUGCCGCGUGCAGGAUGAAGGCCUUCGGGUUGUAAACUGCUUUUGUACGGAACGAAAAGCUCUGGGUUAAUACCCUGGGGUCAUGACGGUACCGUAAGAAUAAGCACCGGCUAACUACGUGCCAGCCGCCGCUGUAAAAC
rnacentral:rRNA from 1 species